ACACAUGCAAGUCGAGGGGCAGCAUUUCAGUUUGCUUGCAAACUGGAGAUGGCGACCGGCGCACGGGUGAGUAACACGUAUCCAACCUGCCGAUAACUCGGGGAUAGCCUUUCGAAAGAAAGAUUAAUACCCGAUGGUAUAAUUAGACCGCAUGGUCUUGUUAUUAAAGAAUUUCGGUUAUCGAUGGGGAUGCGUUCCAUUAGGCAGUUGGUGAGGUAACGGCUCACCAAACCUUCGAUGGAUAGGGGUUCUGAGAGGAAGGUCCCCCACAUUGGAACUGAGACACGGUCCAAACUCCUACGGGAGGCAGCAGUGAGGAAUAUUGGUCAAUGGGCGCAGGCCUGAACCAGCCAAGUAGCGUGAAGGAUGACUGCCCUAUGGGUUGUAAACUUCUUUUAUAUGGGAAUAAAGUUUUCCACGUGUGGAAUUUUGUAUGUACCAUAUGAAUAAGGAUCGGCUAACUCCGUGCCAGCAGCCGCGGUAAUACGGAGGAUCCGAGCGUUAUCCGGAUUUAUUGGGUUUAAAGGGAGCGUAGGUGGACAGUUAAGUCAGUUGUGAAAGUUUGCGGCUCAACCGUAAAUUGCAGUUGAUACUGGCU
rnacentral:rRNA from 1 species